GGGGCCGAUAUGGCGAUCGACCGGACAGGGAAGGCUUGGUGUGGCGUGCCGAGGAGCGUGUUAGCCUCGUAAAAAGUACGCACCUUUAUAACUGCCAAACCGCAGUACGCACUCGCUGCUUAAUAAAGUAGCGGAUUCACCGCUUGACGCCUGAUAGGGUGGUGAAUCACGAUUAUGAGGCUGGUCGGCAUGUGGUGCCUCUUGGCAUGCCGGCGAGGAGGUUUCGAGGGGCUGGGCCGAAGCACAGGGUGUCAUCCCCCGGUGCCAGGCCGAGAACAAACGGAUGACUACGCGCGUAGAAGCACCCUGCUGACUGCCUCGGCACGGGGGUUCGAUUCCCCCCGGCUCCAUUG
rnacentral:tmRNA from 1 species